GACGAACGCUGGCGGCAUGCCUAAUACAUGCAAGUCGAACGCUGAAGCACUCUGCUUGCAGAGUGCGGAUGAGUGGCGAACGGGUGAGUAACACGUGGGAAAUCUGCCUAGGAGUGGGGGAUAACAUUCGGAAACGGAUGCUAAUACCGCAUAUCUUUUUGAACCGCAUGGUUCUUAAACGAAAGAUGGCUUCGGCUGUCGCUCUUAGAUGAUCCCGCGGCGUAUUAGUUAGUUGGUGGGGUAAAGGCCUACCAAGACCAUGAUACGUAGCCGACCUGAGAGGGUGAUCGGCCACACUGGGACUGAGACACGGCCCAGACUCCUACGGGAGGCAGCAGUAGGGAAUCUUCCACAAUGGGUGAAAACCUGAUGGAGCAAUGCCGCGUGAAUGAAGAAGGUCUUCGGAUCGUAAAGUUCUGUUAUUAGAGAAGAACAAGUCAAGGAGUAAACUGUCUUGACUUUGACGGUACCUAACCAGAAAGUCACGGCUAACUACGUAGCC
rnacentral:rRNA from 1 species